CCUCCGGGUAGAAAGCCUGGCCGCGAGUCCCCGGAACGGCAGGUGUCAUGGAAAACGAAAGCGGUCUCUCUCCCUGCCCUUUUCCCCUUUGCUCAUGCGGGACUCCCGGUCUGCUAACCUUCUGCCAAGGAAAACCUGGCCCAAGCCUGGGGCGCAGCCCCGCCGGGCGUGGAGGAGGACACCCGAGCUGGGAUUCUACAGAAAACCCUGGAAGUAAGGAGACGUGACGGGAAAAGUUGAGAGCCCAGGGAUAAAGCAACACAAAACAAAAACGUUGUCAUCUUUCCCUUAACUGAGUAGAAGUUUCUACAGACCAUGGAUACAAAUAAUUUCUCAUCCAGGAGGAAUUCGAGUGACCACUGGCUUCUUGGGGUGCUACUUUAGGAACAAAAGUAAAUUGUCCCAAGAAAAAAGUGCUCGUUAAAAUCAUAAGUUGAAAAUAAGGUUUGGAUGCAAACAAAGUUAAACUAGUCAAGAAAGAGGAAUGUAUUUUGAAUUAAGUGUGAGCUGUGGCUACUGAAAGGCUAGGUUAGUUUCUAUUCUUUAGUGGAUCUUGGUUAUAAUCCAGUUUUUCUUGUCCUCUAGUAAUUUCUUGGAUGAAGUGUCUAUGCAUUUCUUAUGUACAAUUUUCCAGAAGGUUAAGAACUUGUCUAGAGAAAAGUGUGGGCAUCUUAACUACCUUCAACAGGUUU